ACGGAGGAUGCGAGCGUUAUCCGGAUUUAUUGGGUUUAAAGGGUGCGUAGGUGGACUGUUUAGUCAGUGGUGAAAUGCUGAUGCUCAACGUUAGCAUUGCCGUUGAAACUGACAGUCUUGAGAGUGAUUGAGGCAGGCGGAAUGUGUGGUGUGGCGGUAAAAUACAUAGAUCUCACGAAGAACCCAAAUGGGGAAGGCACCUUACAAAGCCACAACUGACACUGAAGCACGAAAGCGUGGGGAUCAAACAG
rnacentral:rRNA from 1 species